UGAUGGUAGCAUCCAUUGUCCCAAUACAUGUGUCAUGGGUGGAAAUGUAGAAUACAGAUCUGAUCCAAUCUCUAGUGGGGCAAAAAAGACAAAGGAUGGAGUGAAGUUAGAGGAGUUAGUUUAUAACCUUACUGCACUGAAGGUGGCUAUUAUUCUUCAACUGGUUCUGGUUAUUUUUGUUGUCAUUCUCUGGUGUUUUCAUUGCCGUAAGAGAUAUAGAAGGAGGUAUUACCGUUGAACAGAUGUUGUCCUUAUUGUUUGCCUAUUUUAAACCCCAGGACUCAUUUCAUAAAUUGGGAACUUC